rnacentral:rRNA from 1 species
UACGGAGGAUGCAAGCGUUAUCCGGAAUGAUUGGGCGUAAAGCGUCCCGCAGGUGGCUGUGUAAGUCUGCUGUCAAAGAGCGAAGCUCACUUCGUAAAGGCAGUGGAAACUACACGGCUAGAGUGCCGUUCGGGGCAGAGGGAAUUCCCUGGUGUAGCGGUGAAAUGCGUAGAGAUCAGGAAGAACACCGGUGGCGAAGGCCGCUCUGCUAGGCCGCCAACUG